GACAUAAACACUAAUUUAAAUCCAAAAACAACUAACAUUUUUAGGAUGAUUCCACCUUUAUAAAACUUAUUAAGAUAAUAAAUCACUCAUGUUCUCUAUAGCACUCUUUAAAAAAUUAUUAUUUUGAUAAAAUUCUUGCAAUUUUUUAAGUUCUCAUUAGGACAUAUGUCAGGUUUAUUUAACUAGACAAAUGAUGGUAGAUUUCUUAUUGUACGUUACCUACCAACCUACCUACCUAUAACAUUCAAUAAUACAAUUAUCAUCCCCCUACUACAAUAUUUUUAGUCGUUGUAAACUGAUGUAAAAAUCAAUAUAAUAGUUUCUCGUAAUAGUACUCUUUCGAUAGUUCCGUAAUGUACAUAAAAACAUGGAAUUAAAAAGUUUCGAAAAAUCCACUCAUUUAAAUAAAAAUGAUUUACCUCCUAUAAUUAAUAGGGUGGAUAAUCCAAUAAGAAAUAAAAUUAUUAAGGAUCAUAAAGAGUUAUUUAAAUCAUUUGAUGUAUUUGAUAAAAUUGAUCCAUUAGUACUUGCUUCUCAAUAUGAAAAAGAAAUAACUAGAAUGAAAAAUAAUCACUGUCAGAUGUUGGAAGACCUUUACAAAGAAAUACAUUAUCUAAGGACAAAAAAUCGUGAUCUUUUAGAUGAGUUAAUUCUAAUGAAUGGAGGCAAUUAUUGUAGCAUACAUCUAGAAAGUUUAAGACAAACUAUUUUGAAAUCUAGUACUAAUAAUAAUCAAAAACACUUAUGUGAUAUAUUAGAUUGUGCUAAAUUAAAAUUAAACUACAAAAAAAAUAUGAACCAGAAUACUGAAAGUAACAAAACUGAAGUAAAAUAAAUAAGAAAACUACAAAUUUUGGUUUUGGAAAAAAACUUCUUACAAUCUAUUUUUAAGACCAGGAGAAUUUUCAAUGAAUUCCAAAAACUGCCAGAUUUAUUAGCUAUUAAAAAUAAAUUAAUUCAUACUAAUAUUGAAAAAAAUUUAGUCUGAAGAUUGACAAUACAACAAAUGAAAAAUGUCAAAUAAAAAAAAAAGGAAAUUAAAAAUUUACUAUUAAUUCCAGUAUGGAAUCGAAAACACCAAUUUCGUUAAAAAUAUUAAAUGUAUCUUAUUAUUAUCCAAUAGAUAUGUAUUCAAUAACAUUAUAACAUACUGUUUUUUUUCUAGACAUACUGGUCCAAAUAAAUAAGUUAUAAUAAUGUAUAAUUUUUGUUUUUUAUUACUUUAAAUUUUAAAAUAAACAAAUAUAAAUCAUGUAAAAGUAUUUAGUAUUAAAAAAUUUAAUAUAUAAAAGA